rnacentral:lncRNA from 1 species
AAAAAGUAUAUAUGUUAAAGAAUAAUAUGUUGUCUAAGGACAGAAUGGAACUGAUCACACAGGUUCUUUUUUGAAAUCAUGAGUGGAGGAUCUCAAGUCCACAUUUUUUGGGGUGCUCCAAUUGCUCCACUGAAAAUCACAGUAUCAGAAGACACAGCUUCUUUAAUGUCUGUUGCUGACCCCUGGAAAAAAAUUCAGCUUUUAUACAGUCAACAUUCUUUAUAUCUGAAGGAUGAAAAACAGCACAAAAAUCUUGAAAACUAUAAAGUCCCAGAAUCUAUUGGUUCUCCAGAUCUUAGUGGUCAUUUCUUAGCAAACUGUAUGAAUAGACAUGUUCAUGUGAAAGAUGACUUUGUAC